rnacentral:lncRNA from 1 species
GGGGUGCUCGAUGCCUCCAUUUGUGUUUUUUUUUGCUACAUCAUUUUUUUUUUUAUCAUGUAGUAUGCUAAUGUAGGAAUAUUUAAUUAUUAGGUAUAUUAAAUAUAUGUCCCCGGUUAAUAAAUUUCAUGGAUGGCCUAUUUGGAGUGGUGUGGUAGAUAAAAAAACAACGAGUGAAAUGAUACUAGAAAAGGAUGUGACGAGCGAGAAUAUUAAUUCCUGUAAACGAGAAGGAACCAAAAAAAAAUACGUCUAUGCGUUUGGAAAAAGACGAAAAAA